rnacentral:ncRNA from 1 species
CAGAGUAGGGUAAGCGCGUCAAGUGCUGCGGGAUGGGAAGUUGCCCGCAGACGAAGCAGAAGUGCGCGGUGCUUGCCCGCAUCCGCUGC